rnacentral:rRNA from 1 species
GUCUAUAUACGUAUAGUAUAUCAAUAAGCGGAGGAAAAGAAACUAACAAGGAUUCCCUUAGUAACGGCGAGUGAAGCGGGAAGAGCUCAAAUUUGAAAUCUUCAAGGUUUCUACCUUGACGAAUAGUAGUUUAAAGAAGUGUUUUCUGUUAGAGAGUAGGCUAAAAGUUCUUUGGAAUAGGGACAUCAUAGAGGGUGAGAAUCCCGUAUUUGACAUUAUUCUUUCUAGCUGUGUGAUACACUUUCAAAGAGUCGGAUUGUUUGGGAAUGCAGUCCAAAAUGGGUGGUAAAUUUCAUCUAAAGCUAAAUAUUGGCGAGAGACCGAUAGCGAACAAGUACCGUGAGGGAAAGAUGAAAAGAACUUUGAAAAGAGAGUUAAACAGUACGUGAAAUUGUCAAAAGGGAAGCGUUUGACACCAGUGUUGUUUUUCCGAAAAUCAAUUAAGAACGGCUUGAUUUUGUGUUGUAUUGACCUUAUCAGCUUUCUUCACUCUUUUUCGAGUCUUUCUUAAUGCACUUUUCGGUUAACAAGUCAACAUCAAUUUCUUUUGUUGUAAAAGGGUAUUUGGAAGGUGGCUUUCUUUUCGGAGAAAGUGUUUAUAGCCUUAUACCUCUACAAUCGGAGAGAUUGAGGUCUGCAGCGUAGAUCCUUCGGGGCUAGAUACACUUGUGCUAAGUUAUAGCUUUUCAUAGACAACUUGUUGACUAUGUUUAGUCAUGUAGCUUACCCGCUUGUGCUAUUUUACCUACGCUUAGGAUGUUGAGUCAUCACACAUCUCU